AGAACAUGCAGUCUAGGAACCGGCAUGCGCAUAACCUCAGGAUAUAAAUAAUGCUGAAGCAGAGUUACGUUUUUUUUGUUGUUGUUUUUUUUGUUUUUGUUUUUUUAGGUUUCCGUGUGUUUCUAUUGAGCUGCUCAGUGCCCGGCUUAGAAGACCAGGAAAAGGAGUCACAGGUCGUAUGCUGGAGGCUUGAGCCGCGGCACCGUGGCGCGGCUCGCCUCGCUGCGGUUGGUGGUGGCGGUGGACAUUGCAGCGCGGCUGGAGGGGUAGGAAGAAGAAGAUAGUUUUGGGAUAGAUAGAGGGUCCUUAGACAAGGUGCAAGACAAACAGAAGAGGGCAUGUGGGGUCAAACUCGCUAGCUGCCUGCCUGAUUUUUCUGCACACAGGUGAGAUAUUCCUGCACAUCCUCUGGUGACCCCAGAAUGAGGGGGACUCGCUGGUGAAUUGCCUCGGGCUUCACGUCCAGUACAGGCUGGGUCCCCGUGGUCGCCAAGCCUCCUGCCUGCUCAAUGAUGUAGGCCACGGGAUUGCAUUCAUACAGGAGCCGGAGCUGUGGAGGAACAGAGGCAGGACAAAUUCACCAAGAGCCUAGCAACAUGAAGAGAGAUGCCAGGAAGAAGAGAGAAGCCAGGAAACAAGCCAACCGCACAAUCCCCACAUCAGAGCAGGAGAAGAUGGGGGCCUGCUGGCAGAGCUGGGGCUUGGCUGUGGUCACUCUGAACCUGCUCUUUGGUGUUUUCAUGAGUGGUGGGAAGAAUAGGGACCAUAUGGAGCCCACACAGGAAGCUCUAGCAGUAACACAGCAAGCAGGAAGACAAUUCUAAGGAAGCAGCCCAUAGUCUUCUUUCUUUUCCUGUGCAUCUUCCACUGUCAGUGAGGCUCCUCAUUUAUGGUGAACCCAACUGUGUGUAUCUCCCAAGUUCUCACCCGCAGAUUAAUGUUUUCAGGAAGAUAGGCCAUCAACAGUGAGAGGAAGAAGUUACAUUGUCGUAUGAGGGAUGCAUUUUAACCAUUAAUUUGUGGUACAGGCUGGGCGCAGUGGCUUAUGCAUGUAAUCCCAGCACUUUGGGAGGCCGAGGUGGGUGGAUCACGAGGUCAGGAGAUCGAGACCAUCCUGGCUAACAUGGUGAAACCCCGUCUUUACUAAAUAUACAAAAAAUUGGCCGGGCGUGGUGGUGGGCACCUGUAGUCCCAGCUACUCGGGGGGCUGAGGCAGGAGAAUGGUGUGAACCCGGGAGGCAGAGCUUGCAGUGAGCCGAGAUCGCGCCACUGCACUCCAGCCUGGAUGACAGAGCAAGACUCCAUCUCAA
rnacentral:lncRNA from 1 species